GGAGGAGGAACAAGAGAUGAGCAGGUUGUUAUUCGGCAACAAAGAGCCAAGUGAGGGCUGGCAAGGACAGAGCUUGUGGUUGAUCAUACUUUUAAUAAGGACGCUGUCUGGACCUCAUGCUGUUCCUGAGCCCUUAAGGUUGAGGACUUCCUCCUUCAGAUCGUCAGUCGUCAGGAUCCGGCCAAAAAUGUUCCCCAAAGACUGAACUGUCAACAAUUGGCCUGGUCUGCUGUCAGGUUGGAGAACUUGGGGGGAAAAGAAUGAACCAAUUUCCAGAAGAAAGUGGCCUGGAACUGCAUUAGAUGGUAAGAAGUCAUCAAUGGCCGAUAGUCCCAGGGGGAGGCCAAGGACGCAAGUAUGAAAGUAACUACUUCACAUCCAAGUUACAAUGCUUGAGUGCAAAUUAGCUGUCACUGCCACUGGUGUACUAAUGGAGAGUACAUGCGAAAUAGGACACACAGAAGUGGUUGAACACGAAAGGAAGGUAGGUACAAAAAAAAAGAGAGAAAGAGGAGAACGUGUGUGAUUAUAAUCUCGGUGUCGUAGUUUCUGCCCCUCUCUCUUCUUCUUUCCUCCUUCCCCUAUGUGUGAGGUUAAUUGGCAAGGCACAUGGCUGCCAGGCUGUCUAAACACGGUGCAAACAGUGU